ACUCAGUAUUAAAUAAAAUUCAAAAGUGGACAGCUUAGCCCGACGUUACGGUACUUGGAUUGCUGAUAUCUUUCAGCAUACAUAACUCUACGUAAACAUUAAUCUCGCGAGCAUAGUAAUACUCUUACUUAACACCGAUUCUGAUUCAUUCUCAGUCGAGCUGCUCUAGACGUAAGUAAUCUACUUCGAAUUAGUGAUCUUGAUUGGUUUGUUACAAAUAAUUAAUCAACAAGGAUAUUUGAUACAUCUGACGAAAAAUAAUUGUGUCCAAGUCGUUUGAAAUCUGUCUCAUCAAAAUGUUUUGCGGGAGCGGUUUUGUACCAGCAUUCUGCAUAAUUUGCUGCCUUCUCAUUGUGCCAUCUUCAUCGAAAUAUGAAGUGUGUAGAUCAAGAGUAUACGAAGAACGCGUUAAUCUUACACUAGGAAACAAUAUCCCUACAGCGAUGCAAUCAUACCGAAUUUACUACGGAGAAGUUUGCGACAAUUCAAAAGACAGCGAAUGCUCGUACAUCGACCCCUCAAAGCUUCGGGCGGGAUAUCGGGCAGUAUGCAAGCAGGAUUUUCUUCAAGUGCGCUUCGAGGUAUACGAUUAUGACAAUAGGAUCUCGAAAACGGAUAAUGUUUUUGUGCCAUCUGGAUGCAUUUGUCAGUUAGUCGAACUGGAUUGAUUUUUUUUAAAUAAGUAGUAUGUACCACUUUUAUCUGAUCCUAAAAACUGUAUAUCUAGCAUAGGAGUGUAUUACGUAUUCUGAACAAAACAAUAGUAUCAUACAU